CCUCUAAGGCCGGAUCCAAUCCGAGUUGGACUAACAAAUCCUCCAUCCUAACUUUUCACAUCGAGAAGCUUUUUUUCUCAUCAAACUUUUCAAACUUGAUCUUCAACCGCUGCUCAUGGUCAACACCAACCAUAAUCACAACAAAGGUAGAUCUGAUUUGAGAAGGUAUACCUUAGAAGAGGGUGUACAGAUUUUUUCUUUUGAUGGAGGUCUUCCUUCCUUCUUCCAUCCCAC
rnacentral:lncRNA from 1 species